AUGCCAGAAUUCAGAGCUAUUCACUGCAUGUUCUAGGCCCUGACAGGUUCCUUCUCCUGUUUAGAGAUAGUCACAAUAAUAUUUUAGAAACUGAUUUCCAGGCAAGUGAUACACCUUGGCAGUCUCUAAUAACAAUUUCAUGGGCAGAGCAGAGCUUUUGCAGAAUGUGUAAACUGCCCGGGAGUCUCCACGUCAACUUGGCUAAAUGUCGAGUCAGGCAUGAAUAGACAAAACACGAGGUAAAGCCUGAAGAAUUAAACUGCAUUUCAUCAAGAAUUAAGAUAAGCCCUCUUUAGGUCAGGAGGAUGUUCUGUGGCUUACUGAAAAUAUAAGACUACAGACUGUACGAGUCAAAGUGGAUUUGUCAAUCCCCUGAAGAAGAGCCAUCUUGUCCUUCUCUUAAUGAACCAGUACCCCAGGAAUUCUGAGCUGCUGCAUAUGUAACAAUAUUCAAGAUAAUUCCAUUGCAUUACUAAACUCACAAACAUGAAGAAAUUUUUUUUUGUAUUAAUAAUAAAUUCCAGACCUUUUUUUUUGUGCAGUCAGCCUCUCACCAUUCAUUCUGUGGUGCAAUGAUAAAAGAAGGAAAUGAGAAAUGGAAAUUCUGGCAUUAAAAGACAAGCUCACAGCAGAAUGAAAAGGAAGUAUCUCUACAGACUGAUCAUUGAAGAGGUGCAUUACAGAAAAACAGUGUCAAAAAUCUUCUCCAUGAAUUCAUAUCUGAGGAUAAGAGAGUUUUCACCUUAUAUUCUUUGUAAUAGCACAAAAUGUGAACUAAUUUAUUUAAUCAGAAAAACGCAAAUGCAUUUUAUAAAAGUUUUGAAAUCAGCAUGUGUUUAUUUGAUUUCAUUUUUACAGCGAAGCCACUUUGGCUCCUUUACUAUGGCUUUCUUUUAGAUCUUGAUCACUUUUGAAGAAGAGAGAAGCAAACUGUAUUUCAGUUUAAAAGCCUUUGUCAUCAGUAAUACAAAACUUCAUCAGCUGGACUUUUAACACCCAGAUUUGGUCUCCUCCUAACACUGUGUCAGCUCUGAGCCUUGUUGCCCUUGCACAGCCAAUUUGAUCACAGGAAUAUAAAAAUUGAUAGUUUGGUAGUUGCUUUAUAGUUGGUUCUUUUCUCUUUUUUCCACCUUGUCACUGCACAGGCUACAGGAAGAAAAAAUUAAUUCCAUUUAUUUCUGCUUGCUCUAAUGAACCACACUUGAUUUCAGGAGAUAUGUAGUAGCACAAAUAACAACUAAAGCCACAAUGAGUAAUUUCAGCAGAAAUUAAGUAACUGAAAGAGCUCCUUGUGAACAGGGUAUGUUAUGAUACAUUCACUCCAGAGAUUUUCAACAUUGGAGUUGCACAAAGACUUAAUGUGGCCAAGGACAAGAAACUUGAUCAUGCCAAGAGGAGUGGCAUUUAAUAUGUCAAUACAUGCAUCAGUCAUCCGUACAGAAACCUGAUAGAGCAAACAACUUCAAAUGCAGCUGGAAUGGAAAAUCCCUUGAAAAAUGAACUGAUGUGAGCUCAUCUGUGAGGGUAAACGAAACUCAUCAGAGGUUAAGGAGAAUUCCACAGAAGCAGUUAUGCAAAAGGAACAAACUGUACCCACCUAUGAGAAGGCACAGAAACAUGCACUGGGACAUUUCCCAAAGCGUAGAGGAAAAAUGAGCAAAAAGAAGGCAGCAAAGCAUAAUCAGGCCUUAAGCUGUCUCUUAAGCAUGGUGCAGAGAGAAGAUUUCCAAGGACUUGUCCUUGCUCUUGGUUGGUGGGACACAAGCUGCCCAAGACGGAACAAACUACCCCCAUUUAGAGAAGAUGAAACUGAGGAAAAAGAGGUACUAAUGAAAGCCUAUAGCUUAAUGGGCUUUACCACAGGAAACAGCUGGAAUCCCAUAGGGCAUUACAACUCUAAUUCACUGACUUGUUAAGCCAUUUUAGCUCAAGACUAAGCCUUUCACACUUAGUCUUCCUGAUUAAAAUAGACUAACUACUAAUUUACAUUUCCAAGAUCUCAGUAUUUGUCAUGAAGAUUUCAACUGCACAAGUUGUUUUUACAAUCUGCCUUUCUACAACAUUUUGAGUGCUUUUCCCAUAAACUGUGAUGCUUUGUUAUUUGUAUAUGACACCUUUGCCCAAACAACACAGGUUUCAUUAGGUGCAUAGAGAAGAUGCAAAUAUGCAUGAUCAGAUUCUUCUUUUCAUUUAUCUGAGAGUAACUUACAUGUCCCUAAAGCCAUUUCUGUGCAGGAAGCAGCCCGGACCAGCCCUAGAGGUUUUAAACUUGCAGGAAGUGUCUGAGUAACAGCAUCUGCAUCAUAAAGAUAUUUUGCCAUUUUGAAUAAUCUCAAAUAUUAAAAAUCCUAUAGUAAUAUUUAAUGUUCUGCUUUGCAGUGGCCGUUGAAAAAUUGCAUCUUAUUACUGAUGUCUAGAUUGUCUAGCUUUAAUUUUCAAGCACUAUCUGGCAUCAUAAGUGUGUCUGUGACUUAAAAGAGUCACCUCUUCUGCAGGCAGUUUCUUUUAGGUUAGCAGCAGCUGUUUCUUGUUCUUCAUAUCAACAAGUAAACAAGUAGAAGUUACUAUCAACUGAAGUUAGUAUCAAAGGAAGGCAUAGUUUUCUAUUCAAAAAUUGUUUGUUAUUAUACUAAUAAUUUUUAUUACACUAAAAGGAAACAAACUCUCCAUUUAUUGCUCAUUGUUUCUAAAAGUGACAGUGGAUAGUGACUAAAAACAACUGGGAUAAUUGAGUAAUUAGAAAAAGUAAAACAAUUGGAAGACAUCAUUAUUUUUCUGAUUCUAUGACUCAAAUCAGCUCAUCUGUCUAGCCAGGAAAGAGACAGAAAUUAUUAUAAAACAAUGCUUUGCUCUUUUUUCUUUUACUCUUUGACUGGAAGGAAGGACUACUAUUAUUUCUCUUGUAAUCACUUUCAUUAAUUGUGCCUCUAGUGCAGUACCAAAAUGUUUUAGAUGUAUGGUGGUAUCAUGCUCUGAUCUACGGUGAGUCAGCUCCAGGAGCUAAGCUAGUAGAAAAUUACUAUUUUAUAUUAUCAGUUUCCUGGCAGUUUAUCUGUCAAAAUUGUUACACCAAGUGUUUAUGUCAAAACACGUAAGUAAAUAGGGCUGUGGCAAAACUAAAUUGACUUGGCUGAAGUAAUUCUGGAGCUGCAGUUUCACUGUAGGAUUGAUCUGAGUCUAACAUCUGCAAAUGAAAGCAUCUCUCAUUUACUCUGUGUAUCAAGAAUGCCCUUGCAGAUGACAAUGAUUUAUGAUCUAGGUUCUUUCCAGCAAGACAAAGCCAGCAAACAGCUAGAGAUGUGUGAGUUAACUCUAACCUUGCUGGUGUACUUGUAGCAGUGAUGUUAUAGAAACUAAAGAAACAUAGCAUAUUGGGAAAGUUCAAAACUUUAGAAAAAAGGCUACAUCAAAAUUACUUUUAUGGCCUCAGGGGUGAAAAGCAACAUUCAGCUUUGCAGUGGCAGAAAAGAAGAUUCCAAGAAUGAAUCAGUGAGGGGCUAGCGAAGUCUGAACAGUCUUGGUGCAGUAAAUGGGGCCUUUGGGGCAUGCUAGGGGCUGUCACAGGGUUGACAAAGGUUGACAAAGCUUCUCGAGGAGUGGGAGGUUCAGAUGUUGCCUCAGACUCACAACGAACUGUGUGACUGUGGAGGUGGCUGUGGCCUUGUGACUGAAUAGGGAUUCCCACCCUACCUUGCUGCCUUCCAGCAUUUCCUUCAUCCUCUUCUUCCUCUCCAGACCUCAGUACAGGAACAUCCCCCUGUCUAUCCUCCCCCCAUCUCAGCCCUCUAGCCCUUCACUCCUUGGUGCCCAUGCCUGGCUCAGCUCUGCUGCAUUUCCUCCUCUGGCUCCUUCCACCACUCCCAGCAUGUGAGACACCAAGGGAAGCAAGGAACUCUUCCAGCAACAUUAAAGCUUGGGAUUAUAUUAAAAAUGGCUCUGUAUGCAAUGUACAGUGCAACCAGCUCAGAGAGGGAUCACACAACCCCAGCAGGAGAACGGGAGGCACAGCACAGGCCCGGGGGUCCCUCUUGUGCCUCCUCAAAACCCCUCACGGGGCUCUCCUGCUCCCUUUCGGAGGCCUCCUGUCCUCACAUGCCACAUGUCAACAGCUGCUCAGCCCGCUGAAAGACCCAGGGACAGAAAACAGAGCAGGGGCAAUUUGUUUCAGUGCUCUUUUGUUUACAGCAUUCUGUUCUAGUUUCUAAAGGCUCUGAGUGCCCAAGCCAGAGGAAUUCUUGCAGCCCAAAAGAGCCUUUCUAAGCUUCACAGAGAGAUUAUAGCCUCAACACAAAUCACAGAAAAACAGGGAAAAGCAAAACCAAGCUUGGCUGGCAUUGGCUUUUUCUGACCCAGUUUGGAUUUCUGCCCAAACUAUCCACUAAAGAAAAUAUCAUAAAACCAUUCUGCACAGAAUUUUUAUGUUAUGUCAGACUGGACUUUGCCCAAACUAAACAAAAUACUCACUACACACAGUGUUUUUACAUAACACAUCUCUUAAUCUGGAACAUUUAUGGAACAGAUCAAAGUAGUGGAAGGCUACAAGUGCUUAACACAAUUAGUUUUUAACUGCUCCAUUUAAUAUGCAUGCAUCUGUUCACACAUAGGUAAAUAAAUCUAUCUCUUUUACUAAAAUUCUCUGUGUUUUGAUUUAAACUUUUUUUAGUAUUUUUCCUUAUACUUUUAUAUUAUGCAUUAUGGUAAUACAUAACACCUUAUGUAUUAACAGCAGUAAUUAAAAGUGUUUCAGACAGUUGGAAGGUCUAAAGAGAAAUAGUGCCCAAUGUUUUAAUAACAUCGUUUUUAUAACAAGAACUUCAAAGGACUACACAACUACAGACCCAUUUUAAAAUUCUAGAGACAUUUAAAAUUUAAAAUAUUGAAUUAAAUUUUCAGCUCAUGUGAAGUUGGAUAACUGCAGAAUACAAUGAAAAACUACCAUGAAUUUAUUUCAUCUGGGGAUCAAGAAGAUAAUGAUAUGGGGAAAUAACCAAUUUAGAUUUUAUGUAAUUUUUUUACUCUGAUGAUGCUUUGAAAUUAGGGAAUUU